rnacentral:tRNA from 1 species
GAGCGCAUAGCUCAGCUGAUUAGAGCGACCGCCUUACACGCGGUAGGUCCCAGGUUUGAAUCCUGGUGCGCCCA